GGGCAAUCAUGCUUCGGUCAUUCCCUAUAUAAUCAACCAAAUUGUCAUACAAAAGGUCCUACUUGGACCCGCCUUUGCCACUAAAUAGUCCAAUAUUUCCCAAAAAAGGCGUUAACCUCCAAUCAAUCAACCAAUCUCUGAAAUACAUCAAGUUAAUGUUUUUGGUGGGGUUCGUGUUGCUUAUUAUUCAGUUUUAUAUGUUGUGUCGUGUGUAUUUUUUUUGUCAGUUUGUCUUUUUCAUUUUUAGCCAUGGCGUUGUCACUUUUUUCGAUUUAUGAAUUUGACUGUUCCUUUGGUAUCUUUCUUCCCUCUUUUAUUAAUGCCUGCGUCACACUAUCCCGAUUAUUAUAUACGAUGGACACCCGAAUGGGAAAAUUUUAAGUUCGUACGAAGUUGUUCCCGAUCUCGUUAAAAUACCAAAAAGAGACCGAAGCAAGAACGAUGAAUAACGAAGUCUAUACGAUGGUGCCGAAAUUAUAUAUGAUAGCAAAAGAUGGACAUUUGAAGGUUACCGAAGACGUGUAUUUAAGCUUCAUAUCUCAGCCGAAGCCUACACGAUGGAUCACGAAGGCUAUGUACACGAUGGAUUACGAAUGCUACACGAUUGAUUACGACGAUGGUGCGAAAACAAACAAGAUACAUAAAGGUAAAAUACAUGUAUGUACAUAAUACAUGUAUGAAAACG
rnacentral:lncRNA from 1 species